rnacentral:rRNA from 1 species
AGCCUGAACGCUGGCGGCGUGGCUAAGACAUGCAAGUCGUACGGGUGUAGCAAUACACCAGUGGCGGACGGGUGAGUAAUGUAUCGCUAACGUACCCCGGAUUCUGGGAUAGCUGCCCGAAAAGGGCAGGUAAUACCGGAUGAUAUAUCCUUUUCGCAUGAUGAGGAUCUCAAAGGGAAACCGUUCUGGGAGCGGGCGAUAUCGUAUCAGCUAGUUGGUGAGGUAACGGCUCACCAAGGCGACGACGCGUAGCCGGACUGAGAGGUUGGCCGGCCACAUUGGGACUGAGACACUGCCCAGACUCCUACGGGGGGCUGCAGUAACGAAUCUUCCGCAAUGCACGCAAGUGUGACGGAGCGACGCCGCGUGUGGGACGAAGUCCUUCGGAUGUAAACCACUGUCAGGGGUUAGAAAGUUCUGAUCAACCCAGAGGAAGGCACGGCUAACUCUGUGCCAGCAGCCGCGGUA